AGAGCUCACCCUCUCUGAAGGAGAGCAGGUGCCUCCUGAGAGCAGGGCUUCUCUACCUUGGGGCACUAUGAACAUUCUGAGUGGGUGCCCACUUUGUUCAUCUCUGCUCACUGGGGGAGCCAGGACACGGAUCCAGGUUUUCUGACUCCAGGUAGGCACCCAAAUCAAGACUCAGAUUUCCUCAUCUCAGAAGUUGUCCACUUCUUCUCCGACCUCCACGGUAACUCGGAACCACACCGUGGAGUUAUCCCUGUGUCCUCUUUCUCGGAAGUUCCACAUCCAACCCCUCAGCAGGUCUCAGCGGCACUCUCACCACCUCCUCUGCUCUGUUCCUGUUUCUCUUGGAUGGUCGAAUGUUUCCUAAGGAGUGUCUGCUGCUUCACGCUUGCCCCCUGGAGUGGCAUCUAAAAGGUGCAGGAUACCCUACAACUAACAGGCAUGAUGCCAUCAAGACAUCUUGAGCCUGGCUACCUCCCGUGGCCUGUAUUUUGUCCACAGGAAACUCGCGCAGUCUCACUACAGCAAAUUGAGGUGGUAUGGGGUGCCUGCUGCUGCCUCUCUCUUCACCUUUCCACAGAGGGCUGCCCCAGCCUGACUCCCACUUCCAGAGUUUCUCCAGCCAGGAGAAUCCUGAAAUCUCUGUAAAUAAGCAAUCCAGGAGCCAGAGAAUCAUGGGAUCUCAUAUAAACAAAUCAUCAAGGAAAAACACAGCCAGAGUCUCCAUUUGGUAAACCUCCGUGACUGGGGAUCCCCGGCCACCCAGAAAGCAGUAUUGCCUGCCAUGCAUGUCAUCACUGAUUUUUACUGCUGCAGCAGACUCCGUCAGACCUGCCUGCUGCUUCAGCGAAUUGUUCAGUGCACACCACCAGCUACCUGCUGUAAGCAUUCACACUCCUCUACCUGCCUGGCAGCAUUUCUCAGCUGAACACAGGCCAGGCCAGAAGUGCCAGGGAUUUAAUGCCCUUAGAAGUAGCUCUCUACCAAUGACAAAUGGAGCUGGUGGAUACAUUCUCAGCUUCCUCCCCUCUCAGGUGGAACAGCCCUGAGAUGUGCUCUAUGCAAUCUCCCACAAGUCCCCAGCAGGCUCAAGCUCCCAUUGUCCAACCCUGGUAACCUGCUCAUUGACACCCCUGUCUUGCCUUCCCUUCCUGGCCUCACUUUCUCACUCUCUUACUGUUGCCUCCUGAGAUCGCAUCCAAAAUAAAUGACCUGCACCCA
rnacentral:lncRNA from 1 species